UAUGCCACCACGCCCGGCUUCUCUUAUUGUCUUCUUAAGUGAGUCAUGUCUCUGAAUUCUCAAGUAAAUUCUCUUAGGGUUGGGACCAUGAUUGCUUUAUUCACUGUGUUAAAUGCCUUUCACUCAGUUUAACAUUUCCUUACUGUUUAGCUAUUCCUUGAUAUAGUUCUUAGUGUUGAAUCAUAUUAGGAAGCAAACUAGACCCAUGCCCAAACCCUGAGAAGCUCCACCCCCCACCCUAUGAGAUGCCAUCUUGGUUUCCUGAAGCAGCAUCAUGUCUUGGGUCUGUACUACAGUUGAGCUCUCCCUAUAAUUGCCAGCAUAGAUAGUUGUCUGCCAACAGGCUUAGUUAAUGGGUAGUCAGAGGAAGAUGUACAAAGAAGGCUAAAAAGGGGAGGGCAGAGAGGCAGGAGGAGACAGGAGAUAGUGGCACCACUAUCUUGUUAGAGAAACUAAGGAAGGCAGUUUAAAAAGAGACAUCAGGCGGCUGAGGGUGUAGCUCAGUAGUAGAGCACUUGACUAGCAUGUGUGAGUCCUUAGAUUCAAUACCCAGUUCCACAUACAAGCAAACAAAAAGCCAAAACAGACAUCAGAGCUGCCAAAUAGCUCAGAAGUAGCUUUCUGGGUUUUGGCAAUUAGCAGAGGCCUUCCCAGACAACUCCAUUUAAAGUACUUCUACCCCACCACUCUAUCUACAUCCACUUCUUUACUGUCUAUAUAGCACAGUCAGUAGCUGAAAUUGAUCCUUUUUGUUUAUUUCUAGCCUAUAUAUCUAAAGUACACUUCCUGAGAGAGCAUCUUUGUCUUUUCAUCUUUUUUUUUUUUUCUUUUUUUUUUGUAUCGGGGAUCGAACUCAGGACCUUGCUCUUGCAAAGCAGGCAGUGGCACCACUGAGCUAAAUCUCUAGCCCAACCUUGUUCACCCUUGUAUCCUCAGACUCCUGAAGAGUGCCUGACCCACAGUGAGGUAUGAGUAAGUGCUCAUACUUGUCCAAAGUCAUCCAGCUAAUAAGUGCUUCCUUGAUGAGAAAAUGAGGUCUGUCUGCAGUUGAAGAAAUAUCUUACUCUCAUGUAAAGAAGCUGCUUACCAGGACAUAGUGGCAUAUACCUGUAGUCCCAGCACUCAGGAGGCUGAGGCAGGAGGAUCACAAGUUCAA